GCGCACUGUACGUAACCUGGUUCAAUGUUUAGUAUGAACUAGUCGUUCCAUUCCAGUGCUACAGUAAACCUCCCUGGUGAGCCAGGGGAGCGAUGUGCGUUUUGUGCUCGCUGGCCUGUUCACUCGCCGGGAACAUUU
rnacentral:snoRNA from 10 species